CCUACGGGAGGCUGCAGUAGGGAAUCUUCGGCAAUGGGGGGAACCCUGACCGAGCGAUACCGCGUGAUCGAAGAAAUACUUCGGUAUGUAAAGAUCUUUUACAAAGGAUGAAUGGUUCUGAUAGGAAAUGAUCAGAAAGUGACAGUACUUUAGGAAUAAGCCCCGGCUAACUAUGUGCCAGCAGCCGCGGUAAUACAUAGGGGGCAAGCGUUAUCCGGAAUUAUUGGGCGUAAAGGGUGCGUAGGCGGCUAUUUAAGUUCAUGGUCUAAAUUCAAGGCUCAACCUUGAAUCGCUUUGAAAACUGGAUAGCUUGAGAGAGGUAGAGGCAAGUGGAAUUCCAUGUGUAGCGGUAAAAUGCGUAAAUAUAUGGAGGAACACCAGUGGCGAAGGCGGCUUGCUGGGCCUUAUCUGACGCUGAUGCACGAAAGCGUGGGGAGCAAACAGGCUUAGAUACCCGAGUAGUC
rnacentral:rRNA from 1 species